CAUGAAAUCAGAGCUUAAAUCGGAAUUACAAGAAUCGAUAGGGAUCCAGUACCGUAUAGUAGAUACCGAUACAUGUGCAUGCGCACACACCUAUAUCAUAGAAUAUAAUGACAUUAUGUUAUAGACAUCGCAACGUCUACACCCACAUGUCACACCAUAUCCCUGCAGCCGAUCAUUCCUCACCCGACAAUAUCGUAAGCUGCUUAUAUUCCGCGGGCAAUUCGUCGUUUCACAUCGACUGACAAAAUACAGUCUUCCGUGGCGACGCGAGGCGACGUUGGGUUUUGCUCCUGCCUCAUCUUCUUCGUCUUCGUCGUCUCAACGGUGCCUACUCGGCAUUACGAGUAGAAGAACUCAAGUUUCAAGUUUCACGAGCUCGCCAACGCUCGUAAACAUUCGCACUCGAGGCUCGAGAGAGAGAGUGAAAAAGGCUGACUUCGUUCCUCGUGAGCUUCCAUGGAAUAUCGCACUUCGCUUCUAGUUUUGUUGCGAUUAAAUAAAGCGGGAAAUGAAAAGACGGAUGGGUUGUGCAGCGGCUGAUUCGUCGUCAGCUGUAAGAAAUACCACCGCAAAGGGAUGCCGCCGAUCGGGUGGAUCAAAGGGUCGACUCACGAGGUAUGAACAACAUCUUUAUCAGGUGAUGACAGUUCGUCUGACACCUGUUAACAAUAGGAGCAAGAAAAAAAUAAAACUUGGCCCAACACAAUUUUUUGGAACUCGGACGAUCGCUAAAAUAAUAAAAUAAUAAGUCAGCUCUUCAACAUCUCGUAUCACAAUACUCCGAUCCGAAUCUGCAAACAUUGAUUCUCGUUCACCCGAAAAGAGAAGAAAAAAAAACAACAACAACUUCUUUCAACCACCUGCUGCAUCACGCCACAGGGGAUUUCAGGAUAGUCUUGGACGUCGUUGGGGUUAAAAAUCUUGACUUUGUCUGUCUCUCUUAAGCGUCGCCGAGAGCGGAGAGGGCGUUGACCCCAUAUAACUAAUGAAUCCCGUUGAAUAUUCAACCGAGCGUCCCUGGUCGUCCCUGCAGUUGAGUCCCUCGAAGGGCUUACGACCCCGGACAGCUGGUCGCGUGCCGAGGGGCCCGCAGAACCCGAUGGGCCCCGACCACCAUGUGCUCCCUUUACCCUAACAGUCGGUUCGCCACGCGCGUACGUAUAUAUCAAGCGCAGCGGACGUAUAAAUGCAGCUUUUAUUUCAUACGCGAGUAUCUCCAGCAGCGUAGCCGUAUAAAGAUUUCUUAAUAGGAUGAAGCAAAAAAAAAAAAAAACUGAAGAAAUUCCAGAAUUUUAUACGCGCCCCAUUGUCGUUCAGAGGAGUCGCGAUCCCCAACCCCAAUUCAGCAGGUCGACUUCGCGACGGCGUUAGAGGAUGUGAAACAUGACGGAUGACCUUUACAAAGAUUACGCGAAUGGGGCGUCGUCUGAGGGAGGGAAAAGUUUCAAAGCGUGAAACAUGCGGAACAAAGAAACAUUUUUUGUCUCGCCGGAGUUUCGGUUUGAGAACCGCUGUGUUUUGUGAGUGUAUAAAGUCGACUCCAAGGGAUGUGACUAUGUAACGUGUACACGUACAAAUUUAUACGUAUACUAGGUGUACGUAUGUAUGUUGUACUGAAGAUGGAAAACAAUUCCCGGUAAAUUCUGCAGGUCAAUUGCAUUCAACUUUUACUCUGUCAAUAAUUACACGUUUCAAGACACUUGAAAGGCGUGCAGGAUCGGGUCAUUGGCACACUUUCUAAAUAAUAUACAUAUACAUAAUACGAAUAUGUCUACAUGCGUUUAAAAAACAAUCCCAAAUAUAUAUAUAUAUAUAGAGACGUAUGAUAAGUACGUGUACAACGUAACGCACUUUACCGUGGCUUUUCAUUCUAACACAAAUAAAUAAAGUGCAAAGUUUCAAAUUAGUACCGAUACGAGACCCGAAAAGAGAAAGAGAAUUAAUAAAAUAAAAAAACCGAUAUUUCUAUUUACUCGAACACAUGUCACAUUACCACAAGGCUGACUAUACUUGUUGAGCGUGUAAUAAUAAAUACAUCAACAUAUUACCACUCAAAAA